ACAGACCCGGUACACAAACGGAGCUGACACAGACCCGGUGACAAAUGGAUCUGAGCCCUCGGAAGGCAGGCACAGGACAGUGACUCCAUGCCAGUGACAGCCCAGGGAACAAACGCCGCUUGUUCCCGACUGGCCGCACUUCCGCCUCCUCCCCUCCCAUUCAAUCCCGGCGCUGCCGCUGCUCCCUCCAUCCCCAAGCCAUGCGGGCUCCAAAUACUUUCACCUCGGUGAGGGAAGCAGGCUGGAGAAAGCAUGUGAUCACACGCAGUCAAGAAUCUUGUUUUCCUUGGAGUGAAACUAUUCUUUUUACCUGUGAGAGAACAUGAAAGAAGUUUUCAUCUGAGGCAAAUGAAAAAUAUUCCACCCCCUUCCCACCACCAUCCACCACACCAACUCUGUAAAAAAUAAAAGGAAUGAGGCUGGAGAGAAACCAUCCUGAAAAGGAGAGAUAUGAGAUUUCACUUCAUUUUCUCCUUGGGACAAAACUGAAGGUGUGACUUGAGCUGAGAUCACCACAAAGAGCAACAGGAAGUCCAGCCUUAGGCUGAGCUAAUUUCACCUCAGAGAAACUACACGAGGAAAGGCAUCCACCAAAUGAUAAAAGCAAACAGCCACUGUAAGCA